AUUGAACGCUGGCGGCAGGCUUAACACAUGCAAGUCGAGCGAGCGGCGGACGGGUGAGUAAUGUCUGGGAAACUGCCUGAUGGACGGGGAUAACUACUGGAAACGGUGGCUAAUACCGCAUACCAUCAGAUGUGCUCAGAGUGGAUUAGCUAGCAGGUGGGGUAAUGGCUCACCUAGGCGACGAUCCAUAGCUGGUCUGAGGGGAUGACCAGCCACACUGGAACUGAGACACGGUCCAGACUCCUACGGGAGGCAGCAGUAGGGAAUCUUGCACAAUGGGCGCAAGCCUGAUGAAGCCACGCCGCGUGUGUGAAGAAGGCCUUCGGAUUGUAAAGCACUGUCAGCGAGGAGGCGUUACUCGCAGAAGAAGCACCGGCUAACUCCGUGCCAGCAGCCGCGGUAAUUC
rnacentral:rRNA from 1 species